CACGUAGUUGGCCGGUCCUUCUUCUCUCACUACCGUCACUUGCGCUUCGUCAUGAGCGAAAGAGGUUUACAACCCGAAGGCCGUCAUCCCUCACGCGGCGUUGCUAGAUCAGGCUUUCGCCCAUUGUCCAAUAUUCCCCACUGCUGCCUCCCGUAGGAGUCUGGGCCGUGUCUCAGUCCCAGUGUGGCCGGUCACCCUCUCAGGCCGGCUACCCGUCGAAGCCUUGGUGAGCCACUACCUCACCAACAAGCUGAUAGGCCGCGAGCACAUCCCUCACCGCUAAACACUUUCCACCCCACCACAUGCGUGGAAGGGUCAUAUCAGGUAUUAGCCACAGUUUCCCGUGGUUAUCCCUGAGUGAAGGGCAGAUUACUCACGUGUUACUCACCCGUUCGCCGCUCGUGUACCCCGAAGGGCCUUACCGCUCGACUUGCAUGUGUUAAGCACGCCGCCAGCGUUCGUCCUCGAGCCAGGAUCAAACUACU
rnacentral:rRNA from 1 species